AACAUGCAUCUAAAGAAAUAUGACUGAAAAUCAACGGUCAUUCGGAUUGCUAACUGAACUCUAUGGUAUUACCCAGGAAGACAUAGUAUAAAAAUGACAUCACUUCCGCCCGUCGGCCUUUUCAGCUUUACCGUCUGGUGGAGAGUACUGAAUGGAAUUGUCUCGUGGGCAAGCAGCCAGGAUGUGCGCAGGUCUGGAUGUGUUGCGGAUUCAGGAGGAGGGACUGCCAGAUUUCCUGGCUCCUGGAACCCUCCUGGGCGUGGCGGGUCGAGCCUACACCUCCAGGUGGAGCACUGCACCUGUAAGAGGAAGACUGCUGGUUGGGAGAGGAAGAGUGGCGGUUAUGAGCGAGGUCUGAAUCCAGUGCUGUCGACAUGAUCAGAGAGCGGUCCUGAAGUUUCUGCCACUGGUGGCACCACCUUUGCUGGUUGGUUCACGCCCGGGACCUUGACCAAUCGGAUCCUGGCUGCCUUCAGGGAGCUCCGCCUCCAUAUUGUCACCGACCCCAGCAGCCACUGACUGAGGAGUCCCGUGUCAGUCCUGCUGCAGUCGGCCUGUGCCACUCAGACUCCCCGCUGUGCAAUGUGGACCUCGCCAUCCCCUGCAGCAGCUAGGUGAGCUAUGUUUCUGCUGCUUACCGAUG